ensembl:misc_RNA Metazoa_SRP Metazoan signal recognition particle RNA
GCUGGGCAUGGUGGCCCACGCCUGUAGUCCCAGCUACUUGGGGGGCUGAGGCGGGAGGAUCACUUGAGCCCAGGAUGUUGAGGCUGCAGUGAGCCAAGAUAGCGCCACUGCACUCCAGCCUGGGUGACAAAGUGAGACCUUGUCUCAA